AUCCCAUGAUGAGGACUGGCGGUGACGCAUUCCUGUAGCCUUUCCCAAGCUUCAAGAAUGGUUUCAUACCUCGUCUGCUGCGAACCGAAUAUUCUUCCACGAAGAGU
rnacentral:snoRNA from 1 species